rnacentral:lncRNA from 12 species
AUGGGGAGUGGCUACUGGCUAUGCCAACAGUCCCAAGGCAGCUAUCCUGCCACUGUGGCUCUGGGCAGAGGGAGGCAGCAGGGCACGGGAACUGGGAAAGAGAGCCACCUCCAGGAACUCCAGCAAAGCCCCUGCUUUUCAGCAUGCACCAGGCUCCCAGUCUUGACUGAUGAAAGCCAAUCUCCAGAGAGAAGAGAUGUGUUCUUUUAUUGAAACUCAGUCUGAAGAAGAGAAUUUUUUUUCCAAACCUGCUCAUGAUUUUCUACUGUGAAUCUAGAGGGCCUAGAGACUGCACCGCCUUUUUCUCUUUCCGUCACUAAAGAGCAUUGCGCCAGGAGCAAGUUGAUGUUCUCCCUAAAAUUCUACACAUUUCUUCCCUAGUACCUGUGCCCUAUGGCAGGAGUUUUUCAAACAUCAGUGACUCCUCAGCAUAUGAAAUGGUUAAAAGAGCAGUUCAGUGAUGGGAACUUUUAGAGGGCCCCCUGUUUGCUUAUCCCACCUUCCCUGUAUCUGCUGCCUCCCUACUUAGAAAUCAGUCCCCUCACCCCCUACCAGCAGAGUCUUUCAGACCGAGACUGACCGUGUGGUGUCCUAUGGGCUUGUCCUAGUUUGCCAACUGAAUGGAUGACAUACCAGCAAUGGCCUGAAGCUUUCUAGCCUGAGCCCAGACUGUGGCGGGCUGCACUCCUGCCUCCACCAAAAGCAAAAUGAGAACAGGGGUGGGCAAGAUCCACUGAGGAAGUUGAGGCUGGGCAUGUUCUGCCAGCAUCCUCAGAGUCUGGAAAGAAGCAGAAAAGGUUCAGAAGGGCUCUCAUGAAUGAAGUACUUUCGCUGGGAAUGUUUGAUUCUUCAGUUCUGAAAAAGGGAUUCCAAAUAGAGUUGCUGAGAAACCUGAGAGCUGACUUAUUGGAAGUUAGGGAACAGACUGCCCUGUCUCGAGCUGGGCCUAGACAGUUCUGUGCCAAGAGCAUCUCUUAGCUGUGGAUCCAACUGCUUUAUGCCCUCCCUUUGAGGAUGACUCUCGCAUCUGACCCCCUGCAGGUGUUUAUCUGGACCUCUACUGGCUUCUACAGACCAUGAAGCCUGCCCCUUAGUUCUUUCACUGUUAGUGACAUCUGGGAGCCAUUAGCUCUCUUUUUGGCACAGAGCCAUUAGGGCCACCCAAAUAGGUACCCACAGCAUCUUAGACAAAUUGGAGGUGAAAGACAAGGCUUAGUCCAAGACAUGGCAGCAGGACCUCCCUACAGAUUGUUCCAGAUAAAAUGACAAAUUUCUUCGAACUCCCUCAUGUCUCUAAUCUAGUAGAUAGCCUUGCAGUCAGCGUGAGCUUGGCAGGUAGCCUGUGACAACCUCAGAAUCCCCUGCUGGCAGUGUUGGCUGUCCACACAGCACCCCCUACUUGCUCCUGUGUAAUAGCUCGGAGGGUGAAUAAACAAUAAAACUACUUUUUUAGAUUAUGCUAU